UAGUGCAAAAUUCGUCACGUACAACUUUUUUGGUUGUUUCCUAAACUGCCCUCCCACCUCUCGCUGGCUCCCCCACUCUCUUGCUUGCUCACUGAAUACCUAGCUCGCCGCCGCCGCCUCUCCCUCGCACGCUUCGCCUCUGCCUCUCCGUUUGCCCCGUCGCCGUCGCCCCUUCCAAGAUCUCAGUUUUUACUUCCCGGCGGGUGGAUCCGCCGUCUCCUGCCCCUACCGCAGCAUCGGCAGGCCGCUAGGUCAACCUACGCGCCGAGAAGAGCCCCAAGAAGGCAGCGAGCGGGGCGGCAUCAGGGCCCAUCGUGGUAGCGGCCCCGCAAGUGGCGUGGACGUCGAUUGACUCGAUGUACUCGGUGUCGCCGCCGCCAAGCUGCGUCACGAUGUCGUCGUCGUUGCUGGACGCCAGCGCCGAGCGGAAGAAGAUGCCGACCCCGUGCGUCGUGCAGGUGGCUGGCAGGGGCGUGGAGGUCGGCACCACCAAAACAAGUUGGUCCUCUCGAUCUAGCAGAGCAGAGCAGAUCCCCGACGAGCUGGUUCUCUUUGCCUUGGUCUCUUCUUCAUCCUAGACCGAGCGGAGUAUGCUUCAUCCUGCAAGUCAAGUAUCUGUCGUCCUGCUCUGUACUCAAAUUCAGUUCGCUUUCUUCCACAAUUACUCCAUUUUUGCUGAAGUAGGUGCUGCUCUGUACUGCUCAAGUACCAGUCGUCCACUCUUGAGUACACCCCAUGGAAUAAAUGUCAUCAGGUUCUUUCAGUCAUCUUUGCUCAAGUAGAGUCUGGAAGAACUCAUACAAAAUGAGACGGUGCCCUACCCCACUGACAUAGCUAAUAACGCUAUUGACGAUCACCUGGCCAAGAGGCUCACCGACUUGUGUGGUUAUGAGAAGAAAUUAGUUGUAGGGUGUACUGAAUGUAAAAGAAUAAUUCAAAAGAACUUGGGAAUAACAUGUCUUCAUGUUGGCGUUCCGGUUUGUGAGCUGAUAAUUUGCAGUCAGAAGAAGCCCAUGCGUACUUUAUCGCCUAAAAGACUAUCAGAUCCUACUGAAGAUUUAACGAUAUUCGUAUAUCAACAUGACAUUACUUGCAAGCCUGAGAUGGUGAACUUACCUCUUGUCCUUCCUUAUUUCUCACAAGCUGAUGUUCUCCCUUGUCAAUAUUUUGCAGGACCCACAAUUUCCACCAUCCAUGGUUGCAGCCCCCAGCCGCGCCGCCGACCCGAUGGCGCUUCUGUUGGGGCAGUACGACGCCAACGAGCUCGCCGACAUGGCGACCUUGACAGCAGAAUUCCACCGUGACGCGAACUUCUCCACAAAAGUCAAUGGCUCUUACACAAAACAAUAGAAUUGCAUGUGUGCAACAGGAUGCAGCAAUGGUAUAUAAGAAUCUCAUUCACGCUCGAAGAGUCGCUGAUGUGCUUGGAGGAGGGGCAAAUUUACGGGAUGUUUAGUUGGAUCAGGGGAGGAGAUGG